CUCAGUAACGGCGAGCGAAGAGGGAUGAGUCCAGCGCCGAAUUCCACCAUUGCAUAAUGGGUCGGAAAAUGUGGCGUUCGGGAGGGAGCGUGCCGAAGGACGAUGCAACGGAGCAAGUCCCCCUGACCGGGGCUGUUUCCCAGAGUGGGUGCGAGGCCCAUAGCUCCCGCGUCGUCCUCCGGAUGCGACCUUCCAAGAGUCGGGUUGCUUGAGAGUGCAGCCCAAAGCGGGUGGUAAACUCCACCCAAGGCUAAAUACGGCCGCGAGACCGAUAGCAAACAAGUACCGUGAGGGAAAGUUGCAAAGAACUUUGAAGAGAGAGUUCAAGAGUACGUGAAACUGCUCAGAGGCAAACGGGUGGGCCCUCGAAGUCCCCGUGCGGGUGGAUUCAGUGGGGAGCUCUCCGGCUUUUGGUCACUCUGGGUCCCCGAGAUACUGUGGGGACACUAGGGAGAUAUCUCGUUCCGGUUUGUAACCCCACGCACUUCCACCAGCACUGCGGACGCCGCAGCCGGUUGGGUACACAGUAUCUGUCGGCCAUGAGGUCGGACGAUGGCAGGUGGCCGAUGAASGUCUUAACGAUUUNNNNCGGUCGUUAGCCGGUUCCGUCCGUGGCGCGACGCCCGACCGAGGCAGAAAUGGCCUUCCCCUCCUUUCUCGUUUUACUACGAGUUAGAAGAGCGGGCCGGCAGACAGGUGCACUGCUGCGAUGUUCGCUUUCAGUCCAAUGCACUGGGCGGCUCGCAGUUAUCACCGCUAGUCUACACGGUCCCGCGAGGGAGUAAAUGGUUGGCUGGCGGCGAGUAGGUCGGUCACCCACCCGACCCGUCUUGAAACACGGACCAAGGAGUCUAACAUGUGCGCGAGUCAAGGGGUCUUGAUCAGGCCCAGAGGCGCAAUGAAAGUGUUCCCAGUCGGGAUUCCCAAGACACUCUCCUUUUGAAUUUAUAUUUAAAUGGCGAGAGUCCGACGGAAGCACCGACGACCCGCCCCGUUCUAUAUUUUUAGGUGGGGCGGAGUCAGAGCACACACGUUGGGACCCGAAAGAUGGUGAACUAUGCCUGGGCAGGACGAAGCCAGAGGAAACUCUGGUGGAGGUCCGCAGCAGU
rnacentral:rRNA from 1 species